UACGGGGGGAGCAAGCGUUGUUCGGAUUUACUGGGCGUAAAGGGCGCGUAGGCGGUCAGCACAAGUCAGUUGUGAAAUCUCCGGGCUUAACUCGGAAAGGUCAACUGAUACUGUGCGACUAGAGUGCGGAAGGGGCAACUGGAAUUCUCGGUGUAGCGGUGAAAUGCGCAGAUAUCAGGAGGAACACCGGUGGCGAAGGCGGUUCUCUGGGCAUGUCCUGACGCUGAGGAGCGAAAGCGUGGGGAGCAAACAGG
rnacentral:rRNA from 1 species